UGACGAGUGUUCUCAAAACAGCCACAACUGCAGCAAUAUAACUGCCACUUGUAAUAAUACCAAAGGGUCGUUCAAGUGUAUUUGUAAACCAGGAUUCAGUGGUGACGGAUACAGCUGCACAGACAUUGACGAGUGUGCCGAAAAUAUCCACAAUUGUAGCAAGAGCAACGCCACUUGUACUAAUAGCAAGGGAUCGUUUAAUUGCUCUUGCAAGACUGGUUUGAGAGGGGAUGGAUACAACUGCUCAGACAUCGACGAAUGUGCCGAAAAUAUCCACAAUUGUAGCAAGAUCAACGCCACCUGUACCAACGGCAAGGGAUCAUUCAACUGUUCUUGUAAUCCUGGUUUCAAAGGGGAUGGAUACAACU